rnacentral:rRNA from 1 species
GAGCCCGCGUUCCAUUAGCUAGUUGGUGAGGUAACGGCUCACCAAGGCGACGAUGGGUAGCCGACCUGAGAGGGUGAUCGGCCACACUGGAACUGAGACACGGUCCAGACUCCUACGGGAGGCAGCAGUGGGGAAUAUUGCACAAUGGGCGAAAGCCUGAUGCAGCAACGCCGCGUGAGCGAUGAAGGCCUUCGGGUCGUAAAGCUCUGUCCUAAGGGAAGAUAAUGACGGUACCUUAGGAGGAAGCCCCGGCUAACUACGUGCCAGCAGCCGCGGUAAUACGUAGGGGGCAAGCGUUAUCCGGAAUCACUGGGCGUACAGGGUGCGUAGGCGGCUGAUAAAGUCCGAGGUGAAAGGCUACGGCUUAACCGUAGUAAGCCUUGGAAACUUAUCGGCUUGAGUACAGGAGAGGAAAGUGGAAUUCCUAGUGUAGCGGUGAAAUGCGUAGAUAUUAGGAGGAACACCAGUGGCGAAGGCGACUUUCUGGACUGUUACUGACGCUGAGGCACGAAAGCGUGAGGAGCGAACAGGAUUAGAUACCCUGGUAGUCCACGCCGUAAACGAUGAAUGCUAGGUGUCGGGG